GUGAGGAAUUUUCCGCAAUGGGCGAAAGCCUGACGGAGCAAUGCCGCGUGAAGGAUGAAGGCCUAUGGGUUGUAAACUUCUUUUCCCAGAAAAGAAUUAUGACGGUAUCUGAGGAAUAAGCAUCGGCUAACUCUGUGCCAGCAGCCGCGGUAAGACAGAGGAUGCAAGCGUUAUCCGGAAUGAUUGGGCGUAAAGCGUCUGUAGGUUGUUUAAAAAGUAUUCUGUCAAAGAUUAGGGCUUAACCCUAGAUAGGCAGAAUAAACUUUUAAGCUAGAGUUUGGUAGAGGCAGAGGGAAUUCCCGGUGGAGCGGUGAAAUGCGUAGAUAUCGGGAGGAACACCAAAGGCGAAGGCACUCUGCUGGGCCAAUACUAACACUGAGAGACGAAAGCGAGGGGAGCAAAUGGGAUUAGAAACCCCGGUAGUCC
rnacentral:rRNA from 1 species